GGAGAGCUGUCCGAGUGGCUGAAGGAGCACGACUGGAACUCGUGUGGGCGGCGUAAGCUGUCUCGAGGGUUCAAAUCCCUCGCUCUCCG
rnacentral:tRNA from 1 species